UACGUAGGUGGCAAGCGUUGUUCGGAAUUACUGGGCGUAAAGCGCACGUAGGCGGAUAUUUAAGUCAGGGGUGAAAUCCCAGAGCUCAACUCUGGAACUGCCUUUGAUACUGGGUAUCUUGAGUAUGGAAGAGGUAAGUGGAAUUGCGAGUGUAGAGGUGAAAUUCGUAGAUAUUCGCAGGAACACCAGUGGCGAAGGCGGCUUACUGGUCCAUAACUGACGCUGAGG
rnacentral:rRNA from 1 species